rnacentral:lncRNA from 1 species
GUUGGCGCCAGAUUCGGGCUAGCGCCUGCGCAGUGGUAUUGUUUACCACAAAGGCACAUCGGAAACCAGCACCAUCUUAGAGUUGGCUUCCUACAAGCAAAGACCUUCCAGAAGUCUCUUGGGAAGUUAACUAAAGGGUAAAGGUUCCAGGAAAGUGGGAUAUUCAUGACUUACAGUAACAAAGAAACUUCCAUGGUGUUCACAAGUGAGUCAGGGCUGUGGGUAGCCUAGACUGCCUUGUUAAAGCUGAGGGUUUCCUUGGUCUUGUCUAUGAGGAAGCAGUACAGUUAACUGAGCAGGAACAAUAGAUCAUCAUAAAGGUCAAAGAUUCCAUUUACUGUUAAGAUUGGCACAUGAGAGACUUGGUAACAGACUGGAUCUUCCACUGGGCCUAGCAUUGCUGUGGGGCUACACAGGGAACGCUAAUGAGUGACUGCUGCCCAGAGUCAUCUUUCAGGGACUAAAGAGCUCAUUUCCAGCUCUCUGAGAGAGGAUGAUUAGUCCGGACCUAUCCGUGGUCUAAACUGGACUCCAGGAUUCUCAAAAUGGAAGAAUUUUAAGAUUCAGAACAAAGAAAUUUGAUCUCAUUAAUCACUUCCACCUGAAUGUUUUUAAUGAUAAAAGUACUCAAAAGGCACCUCAAAUUCUAUUAUCCUCAUCACAUAUUGACUGGUAAAGUUGUUAUCUGUCACUAUUUCUUCUGAGAAAUGAAGUUGUUGCACUAAGCAGGCAGGUGCCGAGUCUGAGAGCUUAUCAGAGCUUGCUCUUCAAAGUGUGAAUGCAUGAUUCUGGGCCUUCAGGCGUGCCUCGCACCACAUCAUUUUACACUUUCAGAAACAGAGAUCUGCUGGCUGAGGCCCCUUGCUUGGCUUUUUUUUUUUUUUUUUUUUUUUGCAAACACCCGGGGCCAGGUUUUCUAAUCAGCAGGGUACAUAUGCCAUGGCAGCUGGAGCCCCUGAGCAGCAAGGAGACCUCAUUUGUCCCAGCUGCUGCUAACCAUGGCACCAAAUCAAUAUCCUGUCAGAAGGUGCUUUCCUGGCAGCAACUGCAAUUGCUAACACUCCAGUGACUCUGUGACGUCGCCAGGUGUUUGCACAGCAGAGGAAAAUCCCUCUUUGCACCACUAGCUCUGACCUCACCGCAGAACAGGGCACUCACCUAUCUUUAAUCACCCAUGAAAUGCUGCAGAGGAGAAGCAAGGGGUGCUGAGGACAGGCUGGGAUGAAGCAGCCCCGGGGGUGACCAAAUGUGACUCAUCUCCCUUCACAUUUCAAGAAAAGCUGGAUCAAGGUUGGCUUGCUUCCAAGGGAUACAGAAGACAGAGAAUACCUUUCCUGUUCCCAGUAGACGAAGACUGAGCAAUGCUUAAAGAAAAAUGGCCAAUAUCAAUAAAUCAUUGGGACCCGUGGCUGACAUAGUUUUCAGCUAUCUCAGUUACUGGGCAGUUGUCAAAAUAGAGCUCUAAAAGGCCCUAUGUGGACAGAGCCUCCACUGUUACUGAAAGGGCAAGUUAGCCCUGGACAGCAUCCAGAAGGCACCUCUCCAUCCCUGUCCUGUCCUCAAGCAUAAAUGCUGUGACAGACACAAGUGGCGACAGUGAGAACCAUGGCAAUAAUCACCAUAACCAGUUUUUAUAUCAGGUACAUUGUACGUACUGCGCUUUCAGCAAGCCAACUGCCCACAAAGUCCUCACACAGAACUGUCUGAAGCAGGCUCAAGGUCACAGACACAGUGGUGGAACUGGACACAACCCAAGAGCUGCCAUUUACCUACAGAACACUGGCAUCUCUCAGAAGCAGGCUUUGGGGGUGUAAGUUCACAAGCUGAUCUGAUCACCCAAGUUCUCAAACCACAAUGCUCUGACUUUGCAAUUACUGACCAUUGAAGGCCACUUUUAAACAGCUUCGCAAACAAGAGUGAGGAGACCCAGUACAAAGCACUAGCCCAAGACUCUGGCUGUGGGCGUCAGCGAUGCUGAAAUUAAAAGGCAGCUGCGGUUCCUGCUGUGGGGACCAUUUCAGUCAUUUGGCUGAGGUUCUUGAAAUAGGCCCUGGGACUCAGAACUCCACAGAGCAUCUGUGAUGGUGCAAGGGACCCAGGGGAUUUAGGCUGCACAGCUUCCACAGGGAGGCAACACUCUCCUCCCCUCCCCGCAGUUUCCAGCAACACAAAGAACACAGAAGCAUGGCAACCCUGGGUGAAACCUUGAAGCAGGGUUGGAGGACCUAGGUUUUAAAAAGGUCUAUGCAUCACUUACCAGAGACAUUCUCUUUUGCCACAAUUCACUUCCUUACUGCUGCCUCAAAGCAUUACUGUUCCUCCCCUGAAGGGGAUGGACACCACACAUUAUACAGAAAAUGGUGCUUGCUUCUAUAAGGCAGAAUAAAAUAGUUUCUUAGUAGUGUGUCUUUUCAACUCUUCCCACUCAACCCAUCUUUUUCUCUCUUGAUGCUCACAAGAGAUUUAAGAAAUCAAAAGAAAAGAUGUUCCUAGAAUGACUGACACAUUGAGAGGAAGACGAAUUAGUAGAGCUGGAUUAAAUGCUAGAGGGCUGAGAGAAGCAUAGACCCUUACAGUUAGUAACAACAACAACAACAACAACAGCCGCAACAACAACAACAACAGCAGCAGCAGCAGCAGCAACAACAACAGCAACAGCAGCAGCAACAACAGCAACAGCAGCAGCAAACUCUCUUGGUUUUGGACAGCCCUCUUCACAGGUUUCCCAAGGCGGGGCGUAGAACACACUGACUUCCCAAGGUCUCUGGCCUCUAUGAUCCAGAUUCACUGAGAUCAAUAAAAUAUUCCUUAUGCCUGCACAUGAAACUCAGAACAAAGAAUACACAGUGGAGUAUAUACAAGUAAAGAUGCUGGAGUCUACAG